GAUAAACGCUGGCGGCGUGCCUAAUACAUGCCAGUCGAGCGAACGGACGAGAAGCUUGCUUUUCUGAUGUUAGCGGCGGACGGGUGAGUAACACGUGGAUAACCUACCUAUAAGACUGGGAUAACUUCGGGAAACCGGAGCUAAUACCGGAUAAUAUUUUGAACCGCAUGGUUCAAAAGUGAAAGACGGUCUUGCUGUCACUUAUAGAUGGAUCCGCGCUGCAUUAGCUAGUUGGUAAGGUAACGGCUUACCAAGGCAACGAUGCAUAGCCGACCUGAGAGGGUGAUCGGCCACACUGGAACUGAGACACGGUCCAGACUCCUACGGGAGGCAGCAGUAGGGAAUCUUCCGCAAUGGGCGAAAGCCUGACGGAGCAACGCCGCGUGAGUGAUGAAGGUCUUCGGAUCGUAAAACUCUGUUAUUAGGGAAGAACAUAUGUGUAAGUAACUGUGCACAUCUUGACGGUACCUAAUCAGAAAGCCACGGCUAACUACGUG
rnacentral:rRNA from 1 species